rnacentral:rRNA from 1 species
AAUUGGAGGGCAAGUCUGGUGCCAGCAGCCGCGGUAAUUCCAGCUCCAAUAGCGUAUAUUAAAGUUGUUGCAGUUAAAAAGCUCGUAGUUGAAUUUCGGGAUCAAUAUUUCGGUCAUGCCGUUGGUAUGCACUGUUAUCAUUGAUUUCUCACCUUCUAAAGAACCGUAAUGCCAUUAAUUUGGUGUUACGGGGAAUUAGGACUGUUACCUUGAAAAAAUUAGAGUGUUUAAAGCAGGCUCACGCUUGAAUACAUUAGCAUGGAAUAAUGAAAUAGGACAUCCGAUUCUAUUUUGUUGGUUUCUAGGAUCGAUGUAAUGAUUAAUAGGGAUAGUUGGGGGCAUUAGUAUUCAAUUGUCAGAGGUGAAAUUCUUGGAUUUAUUGAAGACUAACUACUGCGAAAGCAUUUGCCAAGGAUGUUUUCAUUAAUCAAGAACGAAAGUUAGGGGAUCGAAGACGAUCAGAUACCGUCGUAGUCUUAACCAUAAACUAUGCCGACUAGGGAUCGGAUGAUGUUAAUUUUUUAAUGACUCAUUCGGCGCCUUACGGGAAACCAAAGUGU